AUGGCUCAGGAUGAACGCUAGCGAUAGGCCUAACACAUGCAAGUCGAGGGGCAGCACAUGACGUAGCAAUACAGAUGGUGGCGACCGGCGCACGGGUGAGUAACACGUAUGCAACCUACCUUCAACAGGGGAAUAACCCGUCGAAAGACGGACUAAUACCCCAUAAUACAGGGCUCCCUCAUGGGAAUAUUUGUUAAAGAUUUAUCGGUUGAAGAUGGGCAUGCGUUCCAUUAGCUAGUUGGUGAGGUAACGGCUCACCAAGGCAACGAUGGAUAGGGAACUGAGAGGUUUAUCCCCCACACUGGUACUGAGACACGGACCAGACUCCUACGGGAGGCAGCAGUGAGGAAUAUUGGUCAAUGGAGGCAACUCUGAACCAGCCACGUCCGCGUGAAGGAUGAAGGUCUUAUGGAUUGUAAACUUCUUUUGCAAGGGAAUAAAGUGGGGGACGUGUCCUCCUUUGCAUGUACCUUGCGAAUAAGGAUCGGCUAACUCCGUGCCAGCCGCCGC
rnacentral:rRNA from 1 species